rnacentral:rRNA from 1 species
GAUUAGUUUGAUCCUGGCUCAGGAUGAACGCUAGCGGCAGGCUUAAUACAUGCAAGUCGGACGGUAACAGGUGCAGCAAUGCAUGCUGACGAGUGGCGCACGGGUGCGUAACACGUAUGCAACCUACCCUUAACCGGGACAUAACCCUUAGAAAUGGGGGCUAAUAUCCCAUGGUAUUACGAUAAGGCAUCUUGUUGUAAUUAAAGAUUUAUUGGUUAAGGAUGGGCAUGCGUCCCAUUAGUUAGUUGGAGAGGUAACGGCUCACCAAGACUGUGAUGGGUAGGGGUCCUGAGAGGGUUAUCCCCCACACUGGUACUGAGACACGGACCAGACUCCUACGGGAGGCAGCAGUAGGGAAUAUUGGGCAAUGGAGGCAACUCUGACCCAGCCAUGCCGCGUGCAGGAAGACGGCCCUAUGGGUUGUAAACUGCUUUUAUACGGGAAUAAUUCCACUUACGGGUUAAGUGGUUGCAAGUACCGUAAGAAUAAGCAUCGGCUAACUCCGUGCCAGCAGCCGCGGUAAUACGGAGGAUGCGAGCGUUAUCCGGAUUUAUUGGGUUUAAAGGGUGCGUAGGCUGGUACUUAAGUCAGUGGUGAAAUUUUCCGGCUUAACCGGGAGGCUGCCGUUGGUACUGGGUACCUUGAGUUUAGAUGAUGUGGGCGGAAUGUGUCAUGUAGCGGUGAAAUGCAUAGAGAUGACACAGAACACCGAUAGCGAAGGCAGCUCACAAAGCUAUAACUGACGCUGAGG